UACGAAGGGUGCAAGCGUUACUCGGAAUUACUGGGCGUAAAGCGCACGUAGGCGGCUUUGUAAGUUAGAGGUGAAAGCCCGGGGCUCAACUCCGGAAUUGCCUUUAAGACUGCAUCGCUAGAAUUGUGGAGAGGUAAGUGGAAUUCCGAGUGUAGAGGUGAAAUUCGUAGAUAUUCGGAAGAACACCAGUGGCGAAGGCGACUUACUGGACACAUAUUGACGCUGAGGUGCGAAAGCGUGGGGAGCAAACAGA
rnacentral:rRNA from 1 species